rnacentral:rRNA from 1 species
UUUGCAUAAUGGAUUAACUAUAUGCUUUAUAUAUUAAAUAUCACGAAGUAGUUUGAGUUAAAUAUAAUUGCAAGAUUGGUUGCUUAUACUGUUGUGACAAAAACGGGACCAAAAUUAUAUUUAGGGGUGAUAGGCCUGUCAAAAACUACGAUAUCUUGUUUCUAAUUAAAUGUAUUUAGUACAAGUAAUACAUUUAUUGAGUGUUUAGGCUUAAUAAGUAUAUUAAAAGAGAUGUAUAAUAUAUAUUAGGUUAUAAUAAAUAAAUAUAUAACAUAUAAUAUCACUCUACUCUUAAGGUUUAUUAUUUAUAAUUUGAUGUAGUUUUAAUUUAUAUAUCUAUUAAUAAUGUUGUUAUUAGUAUACAUAAAAGAUUUAAGUAAGGAACUCGGCAAUAUUGCUUCUCAACUGUUUAUCAAAAACAUAACUAUGUGUAUAAAUACAUAGCGUAAUCUGCUCAAUGAUUUAUUAAAUAGCCGCAGUAUAUUGACUGUGCAAAGGUAGCAUAAUCAAUUGGCUUAUAAUUGAAGUCUAGAAUGAAGGAAAAUAUGGGGAGCGACUGUCUUAUGUGUAUAUAUAGAAAUUGUUUAUGAAGUGAAAAUCCUUCUAUUCAUAUAAAAGACGAGAAGACCCUAGAAAUUUUAAAUAAUAUGGGUGGAUGUUCCUAAUUAUUUUUUCGCUGGGGCGGCGGAGUAGCAUAGAAACCUACUUACAUAGACCUGCGCUUUGUAUAGCAUCUGAUUAAUUACUCUAGGGAUAACAGCAUAAUAUUUAAAAGUUUGUGACCUCGAUGUUGGACUAGGAAAUAAUAACCUAAAAGGUUUUUUAUAUUGCUCUGUUCGAGCAUAAACUCCUACAUGAUCUGAGU